rnacentral:rRNA from 1 species
CCUACGGGAGGCUGCAGUGGGGAAUAUUGGACAAUGGGGGGAACCCUGAUCCAGCCAUGCCGCGUGUGUGAAGAAGGCCCUCGGGUUGUAAAGCACUUUCAGUGAGGAAGAACGCCUGGUGGUUAAUACCCAUCAGGAAAGACAUCACUCACAGAAGAAGCACCGGCUAACUCCGUGCCAGCAGCCGCGGUAAUACAGAGGGUGCGAGCGUUAAUCGGAAUUACUGGGCGUAAAGCGCGCGUAGGUGGCUUGAUAAGCCGGUUGUGAAAGCCCCGGGCUCAACCUGGGAACGGCAUCCGGAACUGUCAAGCUAGAGUGCAGGAGAGGAAGGUAGAAUUCCCGGUGUAGCGGUGAAAUGCGUAGAGAUCGGGAGGAAUACCAGUGGCGAAGGCGGCCUUCUGGACUGACACUGACACUGAGGUGCGAAAGCGUGGGUAGCAAACAGGAUUAGAUACCCUUGUAGUG